UACGGGGGGAGCAAGCGUUGUUCGGAUUUACUGGGCGUAAAGGGCGCGUAGGCGGCCACCGCAAGUCGAUUGUGAAAUCUCCGGGCUUAACCCGGAAAGGUCAACCGAUACUGCGGGGCUAGAGUGCAGAAGGGGCAACUGGAAUUCUCGGUGUAGCGGUGAAAUGCGUAGAUAUCGAGAGGAACACCUGCGGCGAAGGCGGGUUGCUGGGCUGACACUGACGCUGAAGUGCGAAAGCUAGGGGAGCAAAUGGG
rnacentral:rRNA from 1 species